UACGAAGGGGGCUAGCGUUGCUCGGAAUCACUGGGCGUAAAGCGCACGUAGGCGGACUCUUAAGUCGGUGGUGAAAUCCUGGAGCUCAACUCCAGAACUGCCUUCGAUACUGAGAGUCUCGAGUCCGGAAGAGGUGAGUGGAAUUCCUAGUGUAGAGGUGAAAAUUCGUAGAUAUUAGGAAGAACACCAGUGGCGAAGGCGGCUCACUGGUCCGGUACUGACGCUGAGGUGCGAAAGCGUGGGGAGCAAACAGG
rnacentral:rRNA from 1 species